UACGAAGGGGGCUAGCGUUGUUCGGAAUUACUGGGCGUAAAGGGCGCGUAGGCGGACAGUUUAGUCAGAGGUGAAAGCCCAGGGCUCAACCCCGGAACUGCCUUUGAAACUGGCGGACUAGAAUCUUGGAGAGGCGAGUGGAAUUCCGAGUGUAGAGGUGAAAUUCGUAGAUAUUCGGAAGAACACCAGUGGCGAAGGCGACUCGCUGGACAAGUAUUGACGCUGAGGUGCGAAAGCGUGGGGAGCAAACAGG
rnacentral:rRNA from 1 species